rnacentral:rRNA from 1 species
UCAGGAGUCAGACUGCGGGAGCUAAGUUCCGUGGUCAAAAGGGAAAGAGCCCAGACCGACAAUUAAGGUCCCAAAGAUAUAGUUAAGUGGAAAACGAUGUGAAUUUGCAUAAACAACCAGGAUGUUGGCUCAGAAGCAGCCACUCAUUCAAAGAGUGCGUAACAGCUCACUGGUCGAGUGAAUUUGCGCGGAAAAUUACCGGGGCUAAACUAUACACCGAAAUUUCGGAUUUGUGAAUGUCUAAUAAUGUGUAUUAUUAAGGAAUAAAUUUUCUUUUGUCACGAAGUGACAAACAAAAUGAAAAAGUGAUAAAGAAUACACGAAAAGGAAAAUGAUGCAUAUUAUUAGACAUUUGCAAGUGGUAGAGGAGCAUUCUGUAGUAGGAAGAAGUCAAAGCGAGAGCAUUGGUGGACGAAGCAGAAGAGAGAAUGCUGGAAUAAGUAGCGAGAGCAAGGUGAGAAUCCUUGCCGUCGAAAGUCUAAGGUUUCCUGGGGAAGGUUCGUCCGCCCAGGGUAAGUCGGGGCCUAAGGAGAGGCCGAAAGGCGUAUCUGAUGGAUAGCAGGUGGAGAUUCCUGCACUAUAGCUAGUUUUAAAAGAUGCAAGGGACGCAGUAGAGGAAGAUAACCAAGGAAGAGGAAAAACUUGGUCCGCAAGGGAUAGUGAAAAUUAAUAGUAACGAAAUAUCAAGAAUCACACUGACGAGAAAAGCUUGUAGAUAUUAACUAGAAAUACCCGUACCGCAAACCGACACAGGUAGAUGAGGAGAGGAUCCUAAGACGAGCGGGAGAAGCAUUGUUAAGGAACUCGGCAAAAUAACCCCGUAACUUCGGGAGAAGGGGAGCCUAAGUAAAAUUAGGUCGCAGAGAAAAGGCCCAAGCAACUGUUUAACAAAAACACAGGUUUCUGCAAAAUCGAAAGAUGAAGUAUAGGAGCUGACGCCUGCCCAGUGCUGGAAGGUUAAGGGAAAGAGUUAGGUGUAAACCGAAGCUUAGAACUAAAGCCCCAGUGAACGGCGGCCGUAACUAUAACGGUCCUAAGGUAGCGAAAUUCCUUGUCAGGUAAGUUCUGACCCGCACGAAAGGCGUAAUGAUUUGGGCACUGUCUCGACAAUGUACCCGGCGAAAUUGUAGUACUAGUGAAGAUGCUAGUUACCUGCGACAAGACAGAAAGACCCCAUGGAGCUUUACUGCAGUUUGAUACUGGGUUUCGGCAAGUUAUGUACAGGAUAGGUGGGAGACUAAGAAAGAAAGGCGUCAGCUUUUCCGGAGUCACCCUUGGGAUACCACCCUUAAUUUGUUGGAAUUCUAACUAGUGGUCAUGAUCUGGCCAGAGGACAAUGUCAGACGGGCAGUUUGACUGGGGCGGUCGCCUCCAAAAGAGUAACGGAGGCGCCCAAAGGUUCCCUCAGUGCGGACAGAAAUCGCACGAAAGAGUGUAAAGGCAGAAGGGAGCUUAACUGGAAGAUAGACAUAUCGAGCAGAUACGAAAGUAGGGCUUAGUGAUCCGGUGGAAAUUGAAUGGAAAAGCCAUCGCUCAACGGACAAAAGUUACCCUGGGGAUAACAGGCUUAUCUCCCCCAAGAGUUCACAUCGACGGGGAGGUUUGGCACCUCGAUGUCGGCUCAUCGCAUCCUGGGGCUGAAGUAGGUCCCAAGGGUUGGGCUGUUCGCCCAUUAAAGCGGUACGCGAGCUGGGUUCAGAACGUCGUGAGACAGUUCGGUCCUUAUCUGUCGCAGGCGGAAGAUAUUUGAGAGGAGCUGUCCUUAGUACGAGAGGACCAGGAUGGACAUACCGAUGGUGUAUCAGUUGUCACACCAGUGGCACGGCUGAGUAGCCAAGUAUGGAAGGGAUAAACGCUGAAAGCAUCUAAGUGUGAAGCCCACCUCAAGAUAAGAUAUCUCAUAUCGUAAGAUAGUAAGAUUCCAUAAAGACUAUGUGGUUGAUAGGUUGGAGGUGUAAGUACAGCAAUGUAUUGAGCUGACCAAUACUAAUAAAUCGAGGGCUUAACCAC